rnacentral:rRNA from 1 species
GAUGAACGCUGGCGGCGUGCCUAACACAUGCAAGUCGAGCGAUUCUCUUCGGAGAAGAGCGGCGGGACGGGUGAGUAACGCGUGGGUAACCUGCCCUGUACACACGGAUAACAUACCGAAAGGUAUGCUAAUACGAGAUAAUAUACUUUUAUCGCAUGGUAGAAGUAUCAAAGCUUUUGCGGUACAGGAUGGACCCGCGUCUGAUUAGCUAGUUGGUAAGGUAACGGCUUACCAAGGCGACGAUCAGUAGCCGACCUGAGAGGGUGAUCGGCCACAUUGGAACUGAGACACGGUCCAAACUCCUACGGGAGGCAGCAGUGGGGAAUAUUGCACAAUGGGCGAAAGCCUGAUGCAGCAACGCCGCGUGAGCGAUGAAGGCCUUCGGGUCGUAAACGCUCUGUCCUCAAGGAAGAUAAU